rnacentral:lncRNA from 1 species
AAAAAAAUAACAUCAGAUGUUCCCUAGAGUUCCCCGGAACACUUCAUUAGGGUUCCUCAUUUUGCAACUUACUGAAGUGUUUGGGGGAACUCCUGAAAUCAUUUGAUCAUAGCAUGUGGUGACAUGGUGUAGAAGACUUUUAUAAUAAAAAUAUUAGGGUUUCCAUGUUAAUCAAGAGUUUGGUGCUUCUAGAUUGAGAGGACAUCUGCAAGGUGUAAAAACUAUGGCAAUUUUUCUUUUCUUUUUUUCGCAAUCCGUACUAUACAAAUUUUAACUUGCCAUCGAUUUCAGUUUUUCUUGAAUAGUCCCCUAGCCAAGAGCAACUAAUUGUGUCUAAAAAUGCUCGUCUACAUCACAUUAUAAAAAAUGUAUUCAAAGACAGUACUAUUGAAUUGUGUUUCAAAUUGAACAACCACAUUCAAAUGUUUAAAAUAUUAGAAAGUAGAAAAAAAUAUAUAUAUUUGUAUUGUAUUUUGAUAGUCUCAUUGAGAAAUAAUAGAACAUAAAAUGGCAAAUUAAAUUUCAAUCAACUAUAUGAUAAGAAAUAUAGCUAGCCGCGGCCAUCAACAAGAUUAUCUACAUACAUACUGAUGAUUAGCACUAUUUUCUAAAUUUAGAUUGCAACUAAAA